GGCGGUGUAAUACACGUGCCCAGAUUUUCAGUUGAGCAUAUUGAACUUUGCGGGGGUCCUGUUAUACCCCUAGACUUUUUAAAGUGUAUUUAAUUCCCCCCUCCCCCGAAACUCAAUACCCAGUUUCAGCGGCUGGCGGUGUAAUACACGCACCAAUCUCGUUUUUGCACGUGUAUUGGCGUGUGUAAUACACGCGCCACCUCAUAUUUACACGUGUCCAAGUGGGCAGAUAUAUGCCAUUAAAAUACGAAAAAAAGGUCUAGGAGGGUAAAUAGGACCCACGCAAAGUUCAUUAUGCUCAACUGAAAAUUCGGUCAAAGUACAGGUAUUUUUGUGAGUAUUAUCCCUAAAUCUUCUAAAUUUUCUUUCCGAAUACAUUGGAUUUUUUAAUUUUCUCACGUUCGAUUGAUCAAAAUUUUUCUUCUACGAUAUUCUACGUUAAUUGUUUCCUACGCGCCCUCGAACGUAUAUACUUCAUCUUCACCCCCACCCCCUAAGCCUCUGCUCCCACCACCCACCAUUGACCAUCCACCAAUGACGAAGCUAGAAAUUUUAAUAAGAGUGUUCAAAAUUUAAUAUGUACAUAUGGAAAAUAAUUUUUGACCUAUAUACUUCAUAUGAUUUUCUAUAUACAGUUGUGUAAUAUUUUCGACAAACGGUAUUCGACUGCCCAUCCUUCACUGCAUGUAGCUACGUUUUUGCCACCCACCACUCAGGUGCGGAGCCACCUUUCAUCGAAAGGGUACAUCCGAACCCCCUUUGACGAAAAAUUAUAUUAUUUUGGAUCCGUCACUGCCACCACCCAUAUCCCUACC
rnacentral:lncRNA from 1 species